rnacentral:rRNA from 1 species
ACGCUGGCGGCGUGCUUAACACAUGCAAGUCGAACGAAGAGCGAUGGAAGCUUGCUUCUAUCAAUCUUAGUGGCGAACGGGUGAGUAACGCGUACUCAACCUGCCCUUCAGAGGGGGACAACAGUUGGAAACGACUGCUAAUACCGCAUACGAUUCAAUCUCGGCAUCGAGACUGGAUGAAAGGUGGCCUCUAUUUAUAAGCUAUCGCUGAAGGAGGGGAUUGCGUCUGAUUAGCUAGUUGGAGGGGUAACGGCCCACCAAGGCGAUGAUCAGUAGCCGGUCUGAGAGGAUGAACGGCCACAUUGGGACUGAGACACGGCCCAGAUUCCUACGGGAGGCAGCAGUGGGGAAUCUUCCGCAAUGGACGAAAGUCUGACGGAGCAACGCCGCGUGAGUGAUGACGGCCUUCGGGUUGUAAAGCUCUGUUAAUCGGGACGACUGGUUCUUGUUGCGAAUAGUGCGAGGAUUUGACGGUACCGGAAUAGAAAGCCACGGCUAACUACGUGCCAGCAGCCGCGGUAAUACGUAGGUGGCAAGCGUUGUCCGGAAUUAUUGGGCGUAAAGCGCGCGCAGGCGGAUUGGUCAGUCUGUCUUAAAAGUUCGGGGCUUAACCCCGUGAUGGGAUGGAAACUGCCAAUCUAGAGUAUCGGAGAGGAAAGUGGAAUUCCUAGUGUAGCGGUGAAAUGCGUAGAUAUUAGGAAGAACACCAGUGGCGAAGGCGACUUUCUGGACGAAAACUGACGCUGAGGCGCGAAAGCCAGGGGAGCGAACGGGAUUAGAUACCCCGGUAGUCCUGGCCGUAAACGAUGGGUACUAGGUGUAGGAGGUAUCGACCCCUUCUGUGCCGGAGUUAACGCAAUAAGUACCCCGCCUGGGGAGUACGACCGCAAGGUUGAAACUCAAAGGAAUUGACGGGGGC